UGAACGUCAGUUUGACUAACUGUAGAAAGCGUUUUCCUUUGCACUUCUCAUGGAGCGGACCAAUGCCUUAAAUCCAGUAGGCAGAGGCUGAGACACUGCAGCAGGCCUUUCAUCCACAAACAGUGAGCCAGGAACAGCAGCAGCAGGCAGGCGCCGGCCGAGCAGUAAACGCUGAUCACCGUGCUCUCCUCCGGCAGGAAACACUUGGACAGAGUGUAGCUGCCCGGUGACACCGACGCCUGAGAGGGGAGAGGGCAGGGAAGAAAAAAGGAGAACAAACGUUUUAAUGGUUAUCUCAGGUUAUCAGCUUAUUAAUAAUCCAUGUUGGAGCAGAACUCCUCGGUGGAUGUUGUUCUUACGCACCAGGAUGAAGCUGGGGUUGUUUCUGUUCCUCCAGCUGAAGGACGGCACGCUGAUUUCUGGGUACUUGUUGUCAUGGAGAACCUCACAUCCGCUGUGGGUGUGCCCGCUCAGGAUGAGGCGGGGCUUAAACCACUGCAGUAGCUGAGGAGAGACAAACCCACAUCUACCUCAGAGACCGGUUGCGGCUCGCUUACAUCAUCAGUUUCAUCAUCAUCAUCAUCAUCAUCAUCAUCUGCUGUGUCUGUAUGGGAAUGUUUCUGACAGCAGACUGUUGUAUUGUGUUUUCAUUGGGUGAAACCGCUUCAGAAGAGAUCCGUGCUUUGAGAGAGAAGGGGGAAAAUAACCCAGCAUGGUGUGAUGAGACUGCAGAGUACUCACCCUCUGUGAGGCCUCCUUAGACAACACGUCAUACUUCUCUCUGAACAGCAGGUGUCGCUCUUCAGGCGGUGCAGCAUCCAUUCCUGUGCAGCCGGCAUCGCUCACUCUGUACAGAGGAUAGUGCUGGAGAGCAGGGAAAACAUGAUUACCAUCUCUUCAGCUGUUCUGAUAUCGGUGGCUAUUCAUUCUAGUAUCUCUGUGGUCCCUCCUCACAUGAGGGCCUUGCAUUCUCAGUCCCCUUUUACCCCCCAGUCCUACGCCCCUGACCCCUGUAGCUCACCUGGUCGAGCACGUAUAACGCUUCAGGGCUGCGACCUCACCACUCACUGCUGCAGGUCAUCCCUCUCUCUUUACUGUGGCUGUCUAACAGGGCAGAAAUGCCACACAAACUGUCGAUUGACAGUCAAUCCUAAACAAUCAAUCUGAUAGCCGAGUUAUUGAUUCUGUAAUUUAUCAAAGCAAAAUACCACACGUUUGCUGGUUCAUGCUUCUCAUACAUGAGGAUUUUCUGCUUUUUUUUAUGGUUUAUGCGAUUGCGACGUUAUUUUAGGCUCUAGGAACUUGUCUCAGUGGACGUUUCUCACCAUGUUCUGACACUUUAAAGACCAAAUGAUUAAUCAGUUAAAUGAAAAAUCAAUCAACAGAUUAAUCAAUAGUAAUCAGUAUAGCUGGCCGUGGAUUAAUUAAUAAAACAAACAAAAAAAAAACAUGAACAAUACAGCCACACAUUUAACAUCAGGCAGAGUGGCCAAAAUGUUCUGUAACUCCUUUUAGAUUUCCUCUUUUGACCCAUGAGUGGGUAAAAAGAUUGUUAAAUUCAUCUUAUUCUGUAGCGUCUGACUGUAUCUCACAUGUAUAUUCUGCAUCAGCUUGUUCCAGCGCUUCAUUAAAGCUGCGAUAAACAGUAUGAUGUUUACACUAAGUGAAAUAUUCAAACCCAAGAUGUUUCACUGGCAGUUGCACUCCAUCAAAAGGAUUACAUAUUCUAGAUGUCUUGUGCAUCCUUUUAUACACGUUUCUUCAAAAAUUCAGCCUGACAUAUUUGUUAUCUUUAGAAACUUCUGGAUCUUCACCAAAGUUUAAAAUAAAUUUCUGUGGGUUUCAAUAGUAUUUGGAUCCCCAACGUUGAGUGUGUACUGUCAGCUGGGUUUAACCUGCAACUAACAACUAUUUUAACAAUAGUUGUUUCAUUGAUUGGUACAUUUUAUUAGAUGAAUCUGUUCAUUGUUGGGUCUGUAACUGUCAGGAAAUAAUGACAAAUGCCUUCAAAUGCUUAUGUUGUGUGAACGUUAAAAAAAAAAGUAAUUUAAGGAUUUCUUGUUGCCAAUAAUUGCAGGGUUGGUGGUUCAAUCUGAGGCCUCUCCUGUCCAUAUGUUUGCUUGAGCAAAAGGCAGAAUUGCUCCCAAUGUGUGCUUAUACAGGGGGGAGGGUGAAAGCAAGCUUAAGACACAAUCUGUCAAAUGAUGGUACUGUAAAAACCCCAAAGGGAUUAGAUUUACAAUGAUGUGAAACAGAGGGCUGAACUCAAAAGUCCCAGCAGAAUGAAAAUCGCUUCAGCACAAAUUCUUUCCCCACUAAAUGUUCUCAUCAGAGCUUCUCAUGAAGAGCGAGUGGAGCCCUUUCAGCUUCAGGUUUUCACACAGACAAGAGAGCACAUGCAGAGUACACUUGGUGUUUACCUGUAACAUGAUGGGCGGUGUGGGAGGAUAGAGCUGCGAGCCCUCACAGCUGUCCGUCACUCCGCUGCUGGACUGAGAGUUCUGCAGAAGAGACAACAUAAAGAAGUCAUCGCCUGACUUGUCCACAAGCUCACAAUGCUUGUUAUUUCAUGUCUCCCCAC